CAGGCCCUCGAGUGCUGGACCCAGCUGGAGUCCUCCCCUUCCCUCCACUGUGCCCUGCCCAGGGCAGAGCAUCCAGCAGGCACUUCAUAACGCAGUGCUGAGUGAAUUCUGGUGGCUGGGCCCCUCGGGGCAUCAGCUUUAACAUUUCCAUCUGCUAUGACAUCGUGGGCUUUGGUUCCUGUAGAACUUGGGGGAAGGAAGUUUCACCCUCCUGUCUCAGAACCCUCUUUGAGGAAGUUCUUUCUCAAGUCUAACAGGAGAACCACCAGCUACCACUCCUUAAUAGAAAAGGCCACUGCUGUUUCCACCCACUAUGUGGCAUUUAUUCUUGAAUUGUCCUAACCCAUGGUCCCAGGUGGAGGUUUCCACAUCCAGGAUUUCUGUGCCUGCCUGAGCCAGUCUGGACCACAUGUGCCACACCGGCCCCUUCUUGGCAUCUGGGCAAGAGGCUGCUUCCUUAUCCAGAGAGCCCUGGACACCCCCCUUUGCCCUGGUGCUGGUGGGUGGUCCUGAAGAUUUUGUGAAGAUCAAAUAUCAUCUGGUUUUCUGCUGCCUGUGGAACAGCGUCCACAUUCGGGGCAUACAGGGCCCCCAGCAGUGCUCCGUGUGACCUCUGUGCUGGGUUCACCCCACUGUGCCUGCAUUUGCCGGGCUUCUUCCAGCUUCCGUACCUUUGUCUGUGCCAUGCUCUCCACUCGGAAUAUCCGCUCCGCUGUCCACACACACACAUCCCACCCAGAGACUUAUGUAUUUAUUGCUCAUUUAUUUAUCCUUCCAUUGAUUAAAAAAUAUUUACCCAGUGUCAAGCCCUAGGGACCAUAAUUUGAAAACAAAAAAAGAGAAAUAAGAAAAUACAUAUUUCCCUUCCUAAUGCCCCUCCUCUUCCUCCUCCCCAACCCCACACCAAUAAAAAAGGACCUGACCACACCUAGAUAUCCUGGGCCACGAGGCACUGUUAACUGGCUGUCGGCAGGGUGGGAGAGGGAGACUGCCACAUCGUUCCUGGCAGCAGUAACUGCCACACCACCUCUGGACACCGGAGGUCCGAGGGUCGGGUCAUCACGAUGCACAGCCCUGGGCCACGUGCUGUGGGGCUGGAAGAGGACCUGAGGCCCGCUCCCCACAGCUCAGCAGAGGCAGCCAGUCUGGCACUGAGGACGCAGACAGAUGUGUGGGAGGUGGGCUGGAGGUGCCUUGAGGGGCUGCGGGGAGGGGAAGCCCUGCGUGCCCAGAGGACUUUGAGAGUGGCGCGGUUCACUGAGAGGAGAGCGGAGGCGGGAACUGAAUCAGCAAAGGCUUGGGAGCUGGGAAUAUGGUUUGCUGUAGGGUGGGCUCAGCUCCUUGCAGGACUGGCUGGCUGUGCCCGCACAAGUGCACAGAGAAGUGCCUCGGCUGGAGGGUAGGCGUUCCCAUGGAAACCGCCGCAUCCCAUCUGUGGCCUCAGACAUCCUACCUUGUGCCUCUGGGUCCGUGACACCCCCACCGAGAUGCUGGGCCACGCUGGCAGAGUUUGCGCUCGUCUCUGGAGCGGAGUUCGGAUGAUCCGGGUGCCCGUGCGGGUGUAGGGCUCUGUGGGAAGUCUGCCUUCUCGCCCAAGCCCCUGGUUCUCUUGGUUUCCAGGUGCUACCCUUCCUACUUCCAAACUGAGUGUCAUUUAGCCAGUCUGAGCCUCAGUUUCCUCAUUUUACUAUGCCCUACCUUCUAAGGCUGCUGUGAGGCUUGAAGAGAUGUGCCUGCAAAAGCACACUGCACGUGUGUUUGCCAACUCUGGCCAUGUGGCCUGCGCCUGGGAGCCCAGGGAAGGAGGAUGGCUGUGGUUCGCGGUUUGUGCCACGGGGAGUCAGUGGGCAUCUGCUGUACGAGGAUGGGGCGAUGCCUCUCCCUGGCCGUGAGCUGGAGGGGUUGGUGACAUCAGCAUGGAGGCAGCAGCCGUGUCUGCAGUGGGAAGAGGCAGCCACUGGGGCCCUGGACUGGGGAGCGGGGGUCGCCCCAGGGCUGCUGGCAAAGCUACCUACGGGCAUCUCACAGCCUAGACCUGGCGCCCGGGAGAGUCGCAGCGCCAUGUCUGACCCCUAGUGGUCACCGGCAGAGCUGCAGGAGCGGUUCCCGGCCCCGAGGAGUCACUGCAGUGGUGGGGGCCCCAGGUCUGGGGAGGCAGGAGCAUCCCUGAAAGCUGCUCCCUGUAACUGAGGUCUUGUGGGGCCCCCAAGCAGGGCUACUCUGCCUCAGGUGGAUUUCGCUUCCUUUUUCCAGGUGUCAUGAGGUUGAAUACCACCUGAGGCUUUGAUGAAAUUGGUCUGGAUUUGGACACAAACUGCUGAAAAGAGACAAAAAGAUUAACCACACGAUGAGCCAGCACGCACAGUGAGGGACCGCUCGACAGGACACCUCUCCGCAGAAGGCUUGCCGGAGACGCCGUGGGGAGGGCCAUUUGAACAUUACAUCCAAUCAAAGUGUCAUUUGCAACCCAGAUGUAAAACUCUAAUGAUUUGGCCAUGAGGCGCUGCUAUUAUAAGCAGCUGGAAAUGAAUAUUAAUGGCAGAGAUUAAAAGUAUUCCAUGCUCAGUAUUUUUUAUUGUCCUGCUACAGCUAGUGUGCUUUUAGAGUUUCCGCCGCAGACUACAUUUCUAGAGUUAGAGAAACCCGCUUUUUGAGGCUAUUGUCCUUUGUUCCUUCAUGUAUUAUAUUGAUAGUUUUAAAAAAAGGAUUAGUGUGAUUUUUUUUCUUUGCUUCUUUUUUUUUUUUCUUUUUUGUUUUUCUUUCCCCCCCUUCGGUUAACUACUUUUUAAUUGCAAUUCUAGGUAAUUGUGCAUCGUGAUGUGAUUGCUUGGCUAUUGUCUGAAUAUUUCCUUUUAAUUUUUUAAUUAAAGACUAAUGCUUUGAUUGGAUUUGCCAGUUCACCGGACAGUGAUUAAAACUAUGUAAUGAAUAUAAUCGGUUUCAGUGCAACUGGAUGGUCUGCUUUUAAAUGUGACUUAAUCUGACUGCAGUAACUAGUACAGUUCAAUAAAGGGAAUCCAUGCAAUUAGCA